rnacentral:rRNA from 1 species
GAUGAACGCUGGCGGCGUGCCUAAUACAUGCAAGUCGAGCGAACAGACGAGGAGCUUGCUCCUCUGACGUUAGCGGCGGACGGGUGAGUAACACGUGGAUAACCUACCUAUAAGACUGGGAUAACUUCGGGAAACCGGAGCUAAUACCGGAUAAUAUAUUGAACCGCAUGGUUCAAUAGUGAAAGACGGUUUUGCUGUCACUUAUAGAUGGAUCCGCGCCGCAUUAGCUAGUUGGUAAGGUAACGGCUUACCAAGGCAACGAUGCGUAGCCGACCUGAGAGGGUGAUCGGCCACACUGGAACUGAGACACGGUCCAGACUCCUACGGGAGGCAGCAGUAGGGAAUCUUCCGCAAUGGGCGAAAGCCUGACGGAGCAACGCCGCGUGAAUGAUGAAGGUCUUCGGAUCGUAAAACUCUGUUAUUAGGGAAGAACAAAUGUGUAAGUAACUAUGCACGUCUUGACGGUACCUAAUCAGAAGGCCACGGCUAACUACGUG